UUUCCCUCAGAGUAAAUCGUCGAAUGUGUAGUAGAGACAGUUGGAGAGUUUUUGACAAGUUUGCCCAAUCAUGACUAACCAGAUGUUAAACAACAACUACAGGUCUAUGAUCAAAGACAUUCCAGCGAUGACCACCCUGACUACAUUAUCCAAUGUGUUCUUCCUAGUUAUUGUUGUUUAACACAAGAUGGAUAAAAGAAGUUGAAACCGCCGGGAUUUGAACUCCAUAAAAUAUACACAAGUAAUACCACAAUGCCUUUUACGCCAAGGGACUUCAUCGUCACAGCAAUUCAUACUACUUUCUAUGGUAAUGACAAUGUUUUUCUAAGACUGAAAGAUACACUUCUUUUUAGGAAGGACAGUGUAUAACUGAUGCAAGCAGUCUCUAAAUAUUACUGAAAUAAGGCCAGUUGUGAGAGAACAUACAAAAAUAGCUCAUUUUUUUGCUUGCGAAGAAAACUUACCUUACUUUGGCAAGAAACUGGACGAUGAAGACAAAGUCGGGGCAUCCCCAUAUAGUGUGUAAAACAUGUUGAAACACUUAAGCAGAAAGUUCCCAGCUUCUUCUUAUGAAAAAACAUAAGGCUGGAGUGUUUGACGGGCGACAGACCAGGUAACUAUUGCACAACGUGUAGUUUUUGGAUACCAUGUCUGGCAUUGAAAAUGUUUUUGCUGCAGCUGUGUCUGAUUUCCUGGGAAACAGGAAGUCAUCAAAUUAUGGACUUAUGCAGACCCUGUUAACCAGUUUUCGAAGACUGAGCUACAUUAUGAGUGUAAAAGUACGUUUCCUGUCCUGUUAUCUGGACUACUUGCCUGAAAAUCAUAGUACAAUGAAUGAUGAACGAUGAGAAAGACUCCACGAAGACAUCGAGACAGAUGGAAGGCAAGCAUGAUGGCUGACUAUUAUUGGUCUUUGCAAAGAUACUGUUAUUUACGUAAAGCAGCAGAGAGAAAGUUCACUCCAGUUAAAGAGAAAUAUCUAUAGAUGUGUAACGAAACAUUUUGUGUAAUAUAUUUGUAAACAAAUAAAAAAUGCUAUUUGGCUUGUGUUAGUUUCUUAUUCCAGUAUUGUAUUUAAUGGUAAAAUUAACAUUUUUGGGUAAAAAAAAAAAUCACUUAACGUGAUAAUAAGGUUUUGAGGCUAUUUCUGAACCCAGCACCAUCAAAUUAGGUAGGACUAAUUGUAAAAAGCAAGACAACUAAAUUUUUUUUCGAAAAUGUUUCCUAGUGUUAUCAAUAAAAUAAUGAAAGCAGAUGACCAGCUCUAUUACUUUC